rnacentral:rRNA from 1 species
CUAGGCUUGACAUGGGGGUGAAAUUCUGUAGAAAUAUAGAACCUUCCGCAAGGAACACCCUACACAGGUGCUGCAUGGUUGUCGUCAGCUCGUGUCGUGAGAUGUUAGGUUAAGUCCUGCAACGAGCGCAACCCUCGCCCUUAGUUGCUAACAGGUUAUGCUGAGAACUCUAAGGGGACCGCCUGGUUUAACCAGGAGGAAGGUGGGGAUGACGUCAAAUCCUCAUGGCCCUUACGCCUAGGGCUAGACACGUGCUACAAUGGUAGAUACAGCGGGACGCAAGCUGGUGACAGCAAGCCAAUCCCUUAAAAUCUAUCUCAGUUCGGAUUGAAGUCUGCAAUUCGACUUCAUGAAGCUGGAAUCGCUAGUAAUCGUGGAUCAGCAUGCCACGGUGAAUA